rnacentral:rRNA from 1 species
AAGGGUCCGUAAAACGGUAAAUUAAGCGAAGAUUUAAAGAUACUAUCGAACUAAUUUACUAGAGUCUUAUAGAGGAACAGAGGAAUUGCAAGAGUAAGGAUGAAAUCUAUUGAUACUUGUAGGACCGCCAAUGGCGAAGGCAUCGUUCCAGGUAAAGACUGACGUUGAGGGACGUAGGCGUUGGGAGCGAAAAGGAUUAGAUACCCCUGUAGUCAACGCUGUAAACGAUGAGUGCUUAAGAUUAGUAAUUAUUAUUUAUAAUUUAUUUAUUAGGUUAAAAUAAUACUAAAUUAGUCUCGAAAUGAAGAUGUUAAGCACUUCACCUGGGGAGUACUGUCGCAAGGCUGAAACCCAAAACAUUAGACGGUCACGGAAACCAGCAGUGAAGCAUGUUAUUUAAUACGAUGAUCCGCGUACAACCUUACCACUUCUUGAAUGUCCUUUCCUGUCAAAAGGAAAGGCCUAUUUAACCUCUUCGGAAUAAAAAAAARAGGUUAAAUUUGGAUAAAUACAACAGGCGUUGCAUGGCUGUCUUCAGUUCGUGUCGUGAGAUGUCAGGUUCAUUCCGGUAAACGAAUGAAACCCUUCUUUCUUAAUUUUGCAAUAAAUUGAUUAUUUAUUUAUUAAAUAAUUAUAAUAUCAUUAAGAUGACCCUUGGAAAACGAGGAUAUAAUGGGGAUUAAGACAAGUCGUCAUGGCCUUUAUGAAGUGGGCUAUAGACGUGCCACAAAAGCUUUUACAAUGGGAUGCUAAGACGUGAGUCAGCGCUAAACCUUAAAAAAAGCUAUGUUCGGAUUGUAGUCUGCAACUCGACUACAUGAAGUAGGAAUUGCUAGUAAUCGUAA